UGGGAGCGUGGAGGCUCGAGCUGUGGGCUUCCCACAGGUUCCGGGAAGGAGCUUUCAAACCCGGGGCGGAUGUUGGAACGCCGGCAGGUGGUGUGCGGUGGGGCUGGUGGGUGGUCUGCGUGCGGAGGGUCGGAGCUUCCCGCAGAGCACCGCGUGCCGCGCGGGGUGGGACGCUGCCUGGUGGCUGUGGCGGGUACCUCCUCCGUUGGCACGGACGCCAAACUCGGAUACCGUCGUGGAGACAAGACGUAGCAAAGGCCUGGAGGAAUUCGUGCUCCUUGAAGAGAAGGCUGAUUCACAUCCAGAGGAAGGAAAUUACAAAGUGAACCUGGAGCAGUCUUGUCAGAAAGCAAAGAGGUUCUUAAAGAUUCAUAGAGUCUUUUCAAAGGACACUGGACUUGGCUUAAAGGACCUUCUGUUGACCAUACUUGGAACAAUUUGAGCAUCAAAAAGAAUAAUGGUCAGUCUCCUGGAGCAGCGAAGAGAGGCAGGUAAAAAAGAGUCACUGAACCAGCUAAGAGACUAUUGCAGCCAUCCCAGCAACGUGGACUUGGGAGAUGGCAGAGCAGACACAGAAAACUGGAAGAUUUCAGAGUGUGGCCGUCAAGAGAUGAAGGACCAGGACAUAGAAGUUGACUACAUGUAGGUGCAGAAGUAACCAGUAGAGGAAGAAAGAAUAACCAGAGAGACAGAGCAUGAAAGGGGGAGGAGCAGAGAGAGA